GAGAUAACGGCAAAGAUAGAAAGAAGGAAGACCGAAAGAGAUAAGAAGGGAGACCGCUGUCACGAAGGAAAGACUUUCGUCUAGGAACUAUAGUAGACGCUUGCUGGAAUUCCAGGUACCCUUCCAUACAACUUGGACAAAGGAGAGAGAGAGCAUACAAUGCAAUUUGGAUAAUGGAUGAUCAUCACGAAGCUUAUCCAGUCUUCAGAACAACUUGGAGUGUUUUGAGUAUAAACCUUUUUCAAACCAUGCAAUUGUCCUAGUUUUGUUUCCCUUAGUGUUGUGAUAAAU
rnacentral:sRNA from 1 species